rnacentral:misc_RNA from 1 species
GGCGGUUAUGGCUUCUUCCAUUUGGAGAUUAAAAGCUAGGUCGAUAUCAGAGUGUAAGGUUUUGGCAUCGGAAAUUUCGCUGAGCUGCUUGUCAAUAACGGACUCGAAGGAAUCGUCCAUCUCUGCCUGGAGUUUCGGGGGCUAUGCUCGCUUCCGUUUUCUGGUCAUUUCGUCUGGAAUUUUAUAUUUUGAGGAGUCAAGGAGAAGUCGAAUGGGAAGAGCUUGCUGGAGAAGGAGAAUAAUUUGUAUCGACUGG